rnacentral:tRNA from 1 species
GGGAGUAUAGCUCAAGUGGUAGAGCACAUGCUUACCAUGGAUGAGGUCCUGUGUUCAAUCCCCAGUACCUCCU